GACGGAGGGUGCGAGCGUUGUCCGGAAUCACUGGGCGUAAAGGGCGCGUAGGCGGCCUGGUAAGUAGGGGGUGAAAUCCUGCGGCUUAACCGCAGGGCUGCCUUCUAAACUGUCAGGCUGGAGCACAGUAGAGGCAGGUGGAAUUCCCGGUGUAGCGGUGGAAUGCGUAGAGAUCGGGAAGAACAUCGGUGGCGAAGGCGGCCUGCUGGGCUGUUGCUGACGCUGAGGUGCGAAAGCGUGGGGAGCAAACAGG
rnacentral:rRNA from 1 species